AGCGCGGAAGGUCGCGGGCCCCUGCGGUCCCGGAACUUCUCGCUCUGCGUCCCGCCUCCCUCCCGUGCCCCGUCCCCCUUUCCGGCCCGCGCAGACCCUCUUCGGCCGCUGCGCUGCGCUUCCCUUCGGCCGGGCGUGUGUGAGCGCGCUGUCCGCCAGCCGCGGGCCCCCGAGGUAGGAAGGCGGCCACGACCUGCCGGUCCGGGCGGCCUUUCCGUCCCGUGAACGUCUGCGCCCCCAACGCCCCUGUCCUCGGAGCUUUGGCCUCCGGCUCCCGGCUGCUGCUCCUGGUCUCCGAGGCGGUGCGGUGCGGUGCGGUUGGGUUGAGGCAGCCGAGCUGUGCGGGACGCGGGGACCCGCGCCGGCUGCCCCGGGCCUGCGCGCCGGCUCUCCCGAGGGCGGCCGGGCCUCGGGGCUGGCUCCGCUCUGGCGGCCACGCACCUGCUGUCGCGGCCAGCUGUGCUCCCGCGUCUCCGAGUUGUUUUCCCACCUGGCAUCGUGCGGUUCGGCUGUGCCUUAUCACCUCCUGUCAGAGACUACCUCAGGGCGUGCCAGAUAUGAAACCAAGAGCCUUAGGAAUGGUAGGCAAGUCCUCUACGACUUAAGUAUACCUUCAGUCCCGCUCGGUGAGAUUAAAACAAGCAUAUUCAAGUUCCCCUAGGUAAGUAGCAAAAAAAUGUGACCACCAGUCCGCUCACUCCUCCGCACAACCCACGUAAGUUGUAACGUCAGGGAACUAACAGAAUCAAGCCAGUUAUGUCCAGCAAGUCCACAGGGAAGAGGUCGCCGGAAGCAUCUGUCUGGGUAUUAUCUCUGUAUUUAUUCAUCCUCUAACAAAAUUAGUACAUGGAACCUUGAAGCUCAAAGGUAACAGAGAUUGGCCUCGUGAGAAAGUCCAACUGGCACUUGAGUGCAGAAUUUGUGUCCUAGAGCUCACUCUGUAGACCAGGCUGGCCUCAAACUCACAGAGAUCUUGCCUCUACCUUCUCAGCGCUGGGACCAAAGGUAUGUGCCACUUUUUGUAUACACACACCAAUGCUAAGGCAACAUAAAUUUGUAAAAAUUCAACCCCAGACCUGGUCCUUUGUAUUGUGCUUUAAAGUAGGUUUCUACCAUUGACUACAAAGAGACUGAAUUUGCUGAUUGUGUCUGAAGAUGGAGGGUAAGAGACUGAUGCAAAGAGAUCAGGGAGUAGGUAGUCCUGGGAGGGUCAGAGAUUGAUAUAAACAGGGCUAAUGCUUCCCAAUAAAAUCAGGAUUAGGUAACUUGUUUCCCAACUCCCUUCAGUGCUUUAAUAAAGAGUCAAGAUUGUAGGCUUGCAGGCAGUGGUCACCUCGGAUAUAGAGUGGAUUGUCUUUUACAAGUAGGGACCCACUUGAGUUGAUGCAGACUUCAAGCACUUAUGUUUGACACUGUGGUCUCCAAGGAGAGGGGUUUGGUCUAUGAGUUGUAGAUGGAUGCAAGCAUCCAAGACAGUCCUGUGUAGCCUAAGGUGGCCCCCAAAUCACUAUGUAGACGAAACUGGUCUUGGACAUCUAGCUAGCUUUCAGAUGUUGGAAUUACAGGUGUUUGCAAGCAUGUCUGACUGGGUACAAAUUUUGAUCCAGUUAGGUCCCUAGAUAAGCAGCUCUCUGGUUGGUGAGCUGGCGAGCUGAGUCAGCAGGUAGGGGCACUUGCAGCCAAGCCUGAGGACCAGAGUUUAAUCCCCAGGAACCCUCAUGGUAGGCAAGAACUGGCCAUUUGUCCCGACUUCCACACGCACAGUGAGCACAGACAGUAAACUUCUUAAAAUUAUGUUUAGGCCUGGGGCAAGCUGUGCACGACGUAGAAGUGUGCUGUGUUAGAGUUUGCGACGUUGGGAGCUGGAGAGAUGGCUCAGAGGUUAAGAACACUGGCUGCUCUUCCAAAGGUCCUGAGUUCAAUUCCAGCAACCACAAGGUGGCUCACAACCGUCUACGCUGAGACCUAGUGCCCUCUUCUGGUGUUCAGGCACGCAUACAGGUAGCAUGCUAUAUAAAUAAUAAAUUAAUCCUUAAAAUUUGAGUUGUUUGAAGAAGUUUCUUUAAACUAUUAGCACUUAUCAGGGACAUUAAAGUCCUAUAAAAUACCUUGUUUAAGAGCACAACAUGAUGUAAGUCAAGUCUACGCCUUGGUUGGUGCCGGUAAUGUCAGAAAGGAAGCAGCAGUGACGCGCUGCGUGCAUUUGGGCCUUGGUAUAUAAUUGUCAUUUAUUCUGUGCUUUGCUUGCUUGGUGGCCUUUUUUAACCUUUUGCUUUUAUUGUUUGGUUGGAUGCUUAUUUAGGGACAGGCUCUCUGUACAUAGCCCUCACUGACCUGGAACUCGGAGACCCACCUGCCUUUGCCUCCUGAGUGCUGGGAUUAAAGGUGUGAACCACCACGCCUCGCUAUACUUUACUGUCUUUAAAGACAUUUCUAAACUUGUUUUUACCUUGAAGGGGGACAGUUAGGCAAGGCUAUAAUUAAAACAGGAAAACGGUUUUUGUUUCUUUUAAAGCAGGGUUUCUCUGUGUAGCCCUGACUUCUGCCUCCAAAGUACUGGGAUUAAAGACAUGUGCCACCACUGGCAGGUCAAACAGUUAUUUUAAAAAUCAUUUUCUUUUUAGAUUUUAUAGCUUCCUAAAUUGGUAAGGUUUUUGGAAUUUUUUGGAAGACGUGUAUCCCACAAUAGCCUUGACCUCUUCCCUGGUGCUGGGAUUACAGGCGUGUGGCACCACACCCAGCGUCUUCAUAACUAUUUUUCUUCUUGGAAUACUUACCCAAUGAGUUUCUGGUUUAUUUUUCCAGGAUGUUACCAGUUGGCCUCUAAGGGAUCGCGAUCAGUAUUUCCAGCAGUAUAUUUGUUAAACUUGCCUCCCAUGCUUGCAUGGUGAGAGGCACUGUAUCCCCACUGGGGAGGGACUGGGUAUCCAAGAGGCUUAUAAUUGUCCUUUGAGAUUUUAGCUGCAUGGUUUUUAGAAUUGUGGUACUCGCCCCCUCUCUGGCUGGCUAAUUCUCUUUGUCCCUCUUUUACACAAACAUGGGCUUGCUUCUAUGCAUAUAGCAAUGGCUCAUGUUCAUUCUUACCCAGAAGGUUUUCUUCUCUACAAGGCUGCUCAGAGAAUUUGCCAUAAGCCUGUCUCUUCUUUACCUGGGUUUCUAAAACCCUUAGUAUUACGGGUGUAAGUGGUUUUAUUUCAUCCUUUAGAAGGCAAAUAACACGUUGUAACGAAGUUAAAGGACGUUUAACAAGUGGACGGGACAGUAGUUAUGAAAACAUCAGUUUAUUCAUUUAUACAUACACCUAAUACAUGAAAAGAAAAUCUCAAUUGAAAUCCAGCAAUCUAGAAAGAAUUCUGGUCAUAAAAAGCAUAGUUACUCCAUGUGUCCAAAAUCAACUGAGUCUGCUCAGGAAAAGUUUUUUAUUUACUCCAAUACCUAGAAUCUCCUUAAGACCACAUGCUGACACUACACAGGAAAGAAAAGAGCUAAAUGCAAAUUUCUAGAGUUUUAUAGUAAUCGUACUGGUGCUUUAUAUAGUUUAAGCAUCAACCAGAGAGUUACAUAUGAACUAAAAAAGCGUUCAAUGAAAUGAGCUACAGAACUUUUUACCCCACACCCAGAUUAUUCUGAGGAAGGAGGACUGAUAGGAGGGCUGAGACCCCACAGACAACAUUCCACUUUCUUCCUAUCUCAGUCCACUACUGGACAUUCUGGAGUGUAAGGCACUAGAACUGGGCUGAGAGAAAUGUUCCAAGCUUCAGUUCUUGGUGUGCAAAGAAAUCUUGGCAUAGAUGUUUUGAAACAUGAUAAAAAUAACUUCCCCUCCUCUUGUAGUCUGUCCUUCACAGACAGAAAGACAAGGAGGUAGAUGUUUGCAAAGAUUUAAAACCGGUGACUCAAAAUAUGAAGAAAAUGUAUAUAAUUAUUCAGAAGUGGAAAAGUGCUUAGUGAGGCCAAGAGUCUUAUAUAGGGGAAAUGCUGAUGCUUAACAGAGAAGGCAAAGGCGUUAUGAAACACUCACUGUGAAAAAGUUAGGGACUGCAGGAGAAAGCCCCACAUUGACUUGAAAAUGGGGGCUUGCAGAUCAGCACCUUGUAGACCAAAAGCAGUAGUGGCAGAGGAAGAGAGGUACUGCCAAUCAACCCAUAGCUCAGAUAACACAUUUCACCUACUCACCUUCUCAGUCUGUGUGCCUACAGAUGUAAGCACAAGAUGAACAUUCUCUAGCCAAGAAAGGUUGUGUUGAUACUAUGCUGCUUAUCAACAUUUGUGAGGUGGGGGUGUUGGGAUGCAGAAAAUGAAAAAUGACAGCUUAUUCUUCAUUACCCCAAAUAUUAUAAAUUAGUUUCCUUGGCUAAGAAUCAACAGAUACAAGGAUGAAAUCUGUAGCUGACUUUGGCAAACAGGCUGAUGGAAUUACUCUUCCCAGGACUGGUACCAAUACUAUAAGGCAUAAAUUCUCUCAAAGUGUGGUGAUGAAUUUUUCAGAUGCUAGCAAAUGUUUGUUCCUAAGCUAGAGAACAAUUGACCGGAAAAUCAAAGCUGUGAGUCUUCAGUGAAACAGCAUACCUUUAGCAGAUCCCAGUAUUUGUAACUCAUACUGGCACUACCAUCCAUAUCCAACAGCAGAGCAGUGGAAUACUAAAACCUACAAAUUUGUUUUUCAUGUUUAGUUACGCUUCUUGCUUGAACACAACAGCCUAGAAUAUAUUAGGUGUAAAGGAGACAGGCCAGAAAGUACUGAGCCAAGCUGAAGUGGCUGUAUUCCACUCCUGCACAAAUGGGCUCUUAAGAGACCAAAAUGAAGCUACAGUUUGGUGCUGUUACAUGAUCCUGUGUCCCAGGACUAAUGAGGCCUGUAGGGACCCACAGAAGAACAAUUCAGACCAUUCAAGCCUUUGCUCCUUGUCCCUUUCUAUAAGGUGAGUACCUGUCAUGGAAGGGAACUCUGCUAGAAGUUUGAGUACAUUUCAAAUGACUGUGGUAGUGCUGAGAAACGGGUGUUGCAUGUGGCAUGAACAGCUAAGGGGAAAGAAAGCCUUCAUUCGUAUCGUUUCCAGAAGGAUCCCAGAAAACUACUAACCCUAGCUCAUAUAUAUAUAUAAUCUUUGUUACCUUGUUCAAAGAGAUUUAUCAAAGAACAUGGAACCCCUCACUUCUGGGAAAGAAAUGUGACAACAGAUUAUUCCAGAGAACCUGUCACCUAAAGCCGAAGUGUUCAUCCCCUUAAAGCUGACUGGCUCCCCACAGUGUGUUGUCAUACAAGGCAAGCCGAGACAGCCUCACUGUCCAAGAGCUGGAAAUGUCUCACAACUGAGGAUGUACAGUCUUAGUCUUCCUGGAUUUUCAGUCACGCCUCUAGCGCAAUGGUUCUCAACCUUCCUAAUGCUGCAACCCUUUCAUUACAGUUCCUCAUGCUGUGCUGACCCCAACCAUAAAAUUAUUUUCGUUGCUGUAAGUUUGCUGCUAAUAUGAAUCAUAAUUAAAUAUUUGUGUUUUCCAAUGGUCUUAGAUGACUCAUGAAAGGGUCAAGGUUGUCCAACCCCAAAGGGGUCAUAUCCCACAGUUGAGUACCACUGCUCUGGACUUAGCAUUUCUGUUGUUAACCUGCUUCUACUUCAAGAAGCCUAGAAUGCCCCUCCAACACUUCUGGAUCAGGUGUUCCAGGUAAACGGCCCCCUCAACUAAUGUAAGGUGUGUAUGACACCCACCAUAGAAAAAGCCUCAGCAAGUCAAGCACUGCCUGCGAGCUGAAAACAGCAACAGCCAGAACUUCUAACUGAAGACUUCCUAGAAAGUUGCUGUAUGUUUUUGGAAUACAGUGGUUUCUCUCCAACUUUGAGACUAACAAGUGAAGAAAAGACUCAAAAUAUAUGCUGAAAGUACUCUUGAUGACAUUUGUAGUUGAAGAAUAUACUAUAAUAAUGGCACACCAAAUUUUAAAACUUAACUAUUUUGGAAGUUGUGGGGGUUUUCUGAAUCGUUAAAGAGCAGAUUUGCCGCUACAUUGCUGCUACAUCUUUGUGGUUUUUCAAGACAGGGUUUCUCUGUCCAGAACUUGCUUUGUAGACCAGGCUGGCCUCAAACUCGCAGAGAUCGGCCUGCCUCUGCCUCCCUCUGGAAUGCUGGAAUUACAGGUGUGUGCCACCAUGCCCAGCCUGCUGCUACAUUGUUACUAUUAAUGCACAGGUCAAAAAUUCUUUUGUAUUCAAUUCCAAAUAAACUUUCAUUCACACAGACUCUGGAAUGUUUACAACCAUCAACCAUAUUGGAAAGAACACAAAAUA